rnacentral:rRNA from 1 species
CCUACGUGCAGCAGCAGUGGGGAAUAUUGGGCCAUGGGCGCAAGCCUGACCCAGCAACGCCGCGUGAAGGAAGACGGCUUUCUGGUUGUACACUUCUUUUAUUGAGGACGAAACACAUGACGGUACUCAAUGACUACGCCACGGCUAACUACGUGCCAGCAGCCGCGGUACUACGUAGGUGGCAAGCGUUAUCCGGAUUUCCUGGGUGGAACGGUCGUGUAGGCGGGACUGCAAGUCAGAUGUGAAACCCAUGGGCUCAAACCAUGGCCUGCAGUUGAACCUGUAGUUCUUGAGUGAUGGAGAGGCAGGCGGAAUUCCGUGUGUAGCGGUGAAAUGCGUAGAUAUACGGAGGAACACCAGUGGCGAAGGCGGCCUGCUGGACAGUAACUGACGCUGAGGCGCGAAAGCGUGGGGAGCAAACAGGAUUAGAUACCCGAGUAGUC